GUGCCAGCAGCCGCGGUAAUACAGAGGGUGCAAGCGUUAAUCGGAUUUACUGGGCGUAAAGCGCGCGUAGGUGGCCAAUUAAGUCAAAUGUGAAAUCCCCGGGCUUAACCUGGGAACUGCAUCUGAUACUGUUGGGCUAGAGUAGGUGAGAGGGAGGUAGAAUUUCAGGUGUAGCGGUGAAAUGCGUAGAGAUCUGAAGGAAUACCGAUGGCGAAGGCAGCCUCCUGGCAUCAUACUGACACUGAGGUUCGAAAGCGUGGGUAGCAAACAGGAUUAGAAACCCCGGUAGUCC
rnacentral:rRNA from 1 species